UCUGGGAGAUCAAUAUAUAUUCUGCAGUACAACCCCCACGUCCCAUAGAAAUGAAGAAAAUUUGUUGGCUGGAUAUAUCAAUCAAAUAUUUCCUACCUCAAAUCAUUUAUUACACUACUGCAAUAAUACACUGAGUAUGAGUAGAUAUUAGGGAAGGCAUAUCUCAGCCAUUUUGAGCAUAUCUAAGUGUAUCUCUCUGAAAAGAAAGCGUAUACACAUGGAUUGCAGUUACCAUCAUUCAUUCUACUUAUUUCAUAAUGAUAAUGAGAAAUCUCUCUGUGCAUAAAAAUUUAGAAGAGUGCAAUACCACUCCAUGUCCGACUAUUUACUAGCCAUUUGAUUACUCAAUCCACGGAACAAAUUAGUCGAACAAAAAAGAACUAACUACCUAUGCUUUCAGGGGGGGGGGGGGGGGG